rnacentral:rRNA from 1 species
AUUGAACGCUGGCGGCAGGCCUAACACAUGCAAGUCGAACGAGUGGCGGACGGGUGAGUAAUGUCUGGGAAACUGCCUGAUGGAGGGGGAUAACUACUGGAAACGGUAGCUAAUACCGCCUACAAUCAGAUGUGCCCAGGUGGGAUUAGCUUGUUGGUGGGGUAACGGCUCACCAAGGCGACGGUCCCUAGCUGGUCUGAGAGGAUGGCCGGCCAAACUGGAACGGAGGCAGGGUCCAGACUGCUACGGGAGGCAGCAGUGGGGAAUAUUGCACAGUGGUCGGAAGCCUGAUGCAGCCAUGCCGCGUGUAUGAAGAAGGCCGUCGGGUUGUAAAGUACUUUCAGCGGGGAGGCGUUACCCGCAGAAGAAGCACCGGCUAACUCCGUGCCAGCAGCCGCGGUAAUC